rnacentral:tRNA from 1 species
GGGUCGGUGGCGGAAUGGUAUACGCGCAUGGUUUAGGACCAUGUCUCGAAAGGGGUGGAGGUUCAAGUCCUCUCCGACCCA